CGCGUUGGGAAGUUCCAGAGUGGUAAGGGCCCUCCUAGGGGAGCGGAGCGGGAAACCUGCGUAUGGGGGACCCUCUACGAUUUUUGACAUGUUACGAAGUGGUGGGGACCCAAGGAGGACGGAGCAUAGGGGUGGUGUCUGCCGGAUCCCUCUGGUCAGCCUUGGUGCGGAUGAGCGGGGGGUCUGCAUGGGGGCGGCCGCCAGGAGCUUGAUGGACCGGGUUGCUGAGCACGGGCGAGCUGUUCGAGUGGGAGAGGCGUCUGCAGCACUGGCGGCGGAGGCCUGCAGUAGUAACGUAUUUGUUGGGUG
rnacentral:lncRNA from 1 species